rnacentral:rRNA from 1 species
UACGUAGGGUGCAAGCAUUAUCCGGAGUGACUGGGCGUAAAGAGUUGCGUAGGUGGUUUGUUAAGUAGAUAGUGAAAUCUGGCGGCUCAACCGUACAGGCUAUUACCUAAACUGGCAAACUCGAGAAUGGUAGAGGUAACUGGAAUUUCUUGUGUAGGAGUGAAAUCCGUAGAUAUAAGAAGGAACACCAAUGGCGUAGGCAGGUUACUGGACCAUUUCUGACACUGAGGCACGAAAGCGUGGGGAGCGAACGGG